AGAGUUUGAUCCUGGCUCAGGAUGAACGCUGGCGGUAUGCUUAACACAUGCAAGUCGAACGGUGUCUUCGGACACAGUGGCGGACGGGUGAGUAACGCGUGAGAAUCUGGCUUUAGGUCUGGGAUAACCACUGGAAACGGUGGCUAAUACCAGAUGUGCCCUGCGGGGUGAAAGAUUAAUUGCCUGAAGAUGAGCUCGCGUCUGAUUAGCUAGUAGGUGGUGUAAUAGACUACCUGGGCGACGAUCAGUAGCUGGUCUGAGAGGACGAUCAGCCACACUGGGACUGAGACACGGCCCAGACUCCUACGGGAGGCAGCAGUGGGGAAUUUUCCGCAAUGGGCGAAAGCCUGACGGAGCAAUACCGCGUGAGGGAGGAAGGCUCUUGGGUCGUAAACCUCUUUUCUCAGGGAAGAACACAAUGACGGUACCUGAGGAAUAAGCAUCGGCUAACUCCGUGCCAGCAGCCGCGGUAAUACGGAGGAUGCAAGCGUUAUCCGGAAUGAUUGGGCGUAAAGCGUCCGCAGGUGGCUGUGUAAGUCUGCUGUUAAAGAGUCUAGCUCAACUAGAUACAAGCAGUGGAAACUACACGGCUAGAGUACGUUCGGGGCAGAGGGAAUUCCUGGUGUAGCGGUGAAAUGCGUAGAGAUCAGGAAGAACACCAGUGGCGAAGGNGCUCUGCUAGGCCGUAACUGACACUGAGGGACGAAAGCUAGGGGAGCGAAUGGGAUUAGAUACCCUAGUAGUCC
rnacentral:rRNA from 1 species